rnacentral:miRNA from 1 species
AUGUGUAUCUAUGUUCUAUGUGUGUAUGAAUAUAUGCAGUCUGUACAUAUAUGCAGCCAUACACACACACACACACACACAGACACACACACACAC